CAGCAGUGUGAGAUCAGCAGGCUGCGGGGUCCUGUUAGAUGCCCCUGCAGGUGCAUACUUUGCUGAUAGGGCUGCUGGAUGUAUUGUCCCCUUGAUCAUUCAAUGAUGAAACGUGAACAGAGGGAGCAGGAGAAGGACAGGGUGGUGGUGGGUUUAAGGUGAUGAGGGAGGGUGGUCUUGAAGGGCUGCAAAUGAUGCUUCCAGAAAGCUUUAGGAGAAAGGCCCUCCUGCAGGAUGACAUGCCACUAGGCAGUGUUUUCCCAUGGUCUUUAGCAGUGCAUUUGCUCACAGUGCCAUCUGCUGGCCCAUUCCUCCAACUUCACUGGGAACUGAAGAUGAAAGGUGAUCAGAAGCAGGGGCGGUAAGCAAGCACCUUCCAUGGUGGAAGUUCUGUCCUGCUGAGGGAGCAGGAGUGGAGCUGGAAUCCUGUGACACCACCACAUCAGAGGGAAGAGGAGAGGCGCUAAUCCCCGAGUGAAUGGAGAGUCUCCAUCUUCAUCUGCCUUGCUUGAUUUCCACAAAUGCCUCGGUCACAGGGAAACUUCAUGUGAUUUCUCAUCAAGGAUGGAACGUGGGAUUCUGAGCAGGACUGCAUUGUUGCCUUCUGGCCUGGGAAGACGUCAGGUGGAUUGCUUCUUCCCUUCUAAUAUUUGUUCAACAAUCACUUCACCAGUGAGGUAA
rnacentral:lncRNA from 1 species